UAGGGAAUAUUGGACAAUGGGCGCAAGCCUGAUCCAGCCAUGCCGCGUGAGUGACGAAGGCCUUCGGGUUGUAAAGCUCUUUUGGCGGGGACGCGGUACCCGCAGAAUAAGCUCCGGCUAACUUCGUGCCAGCAGCCGCGGUAAUACGAAGGGAGCUAGCGUUGUUCGGAAUCACUGGGCGUAAAGCGCACGUAGGCGGAUGUGUCAGUCAGGGGUGAAAUCCCGGAGCUCAACUUCGGAACUGCCUCUGAUACAGCACGUCUUGAGUCCGGAAGAGGUGGGUGGAAUUCCUAGUGUAGAGGUGAAAUUCGUAGAUAUUAGGAAGAACACCGGUGGCGAAGGCGGCCCACUGGUCCGGUACUGACGCUGAGGUGCGAAAGCGUGGGGAGCAAACAGGAUUAGAUACCC
rnacentral:rRNA from 1 species